CGGGAUUCCUGGACCAACACCAAACAUUAUCAGCGGCAAUUUGCCCGAACUGGUGGAGAAGGGAAUUGUGGUGACAUUCAAAGAAUGGACGCAGAAGUACGGGUCUGUCGUAGGAUUUUACAAUGGAAGAGUGCCCAUGGUGUUAAUCAAGGACC